rnacentral:rRNA from 1 species
AGUGAACGCUGGCGGUAGGCCUAACACAUGCAAGUCGAACGGCAGCACAGUAAGAGCUUGCUCUUACGGGUGGCGAGUGGCGGACGGGUGAGGAAUACAUCGGAAUCUACUUUUUCGUGGGGGAUAACGUAGGGAAACUUACGCUAAUACCGCAUACGACCUACGGGUGAAAGCAUGGGAUCUUCGGACCUUGCGCGAUUGAAUGAGCCGAUGUCGGAUUAGCUAGUUGGCGGGGUAAAGGCCCACCAAGGCGACGAUCCGUAGCUGGUCUGAGAGGAUGAUCAGCCACACUGGAACUGAGACACGGUCCAGACUCCUACGGGAGGCAGCAGUGGGGAAUAUUGGACAAUGGGCGCAAGCCUGAUCCAGCCAUACCGCGUGGGUGAAGAGGGCCUUCGGGUUGUAAAGCCCUUUUGUUGGGAAAGAAAAGCAGCAGGUUAAUACCCCGCUGUUCUGACGGUACCCAAAGAAUAAGCACCGGCUAACUUCGUG